ACAGACAGACAGACACACACACACACACUGUCUCUCUCUCUCUCUCUCUCUCUCUCUCUCUCUCUGCCUCAGCACUGGAUGUAUAUAACCUGCUUUCUGCUCCUGAGAGUAGAAACCCUGAUUCCUACCUGAACAGCUUGCAGGCUGAGGGCUUCUCCUCUCCAGUCGAAGGGAAAGAGGAUCCUCUCAGUCUCAGCCGCCCUGCGUUGUCACUGUCAGUGGGCUGCGACUGCUUCUCCAGCAGCCCCAAGCUGGCUCUCUGCACCUCCCGGUGACUGCGGCUCUGUGUGGGGAGAGGGGACGGGCCGUGGCAUGUACAUCAGGUCGCUGGUCCGCCUCCAAACACCGUACUCCAGAGCCGGCUCCCAGUCCUGCAGGGCUGUGUGGGAAGCAGGAAGGCAGGCAGGGGGCUGAGCAUGCAGCCUGUAGGUCUCUCUCCAGCCCCGUUUUGAUCGGCAGAGGGGACCUGCCUUUAGACAGCUGCCUGCACCGACCCUGCCCACAGGGGUGCACACGGAGUACCCCUAGCCUUGGGCAACCAACAGCAGGCCCAGGGACACAGAGCUCAUGGCCAGCGGGGAAGGGAGAAAGAGACAGCAGACAGCGGCGGCAGCUCUCCUGGGUGUUAUUUUAACGUGGUUUGUCUUGGGGCAAAUGGCUGCACUGAAUGGACUACUAGCCCGUCUGGGCAGAUUCCUGCUUAUUUUGAGGCCUCAGUUGGCAGGGAAACAGCAGGUCAUGGCUCAGAGACACUCCUCUGCAAUCAGAAGACUGCUGGAUGAAAAGGAAUCCUUUUCUGUUCUGACUUCUGGCAUCUCUGCACAGGGUGUAGAUGUCUGUCUGUCUGU
rnacentral:misc_RNA from 1 species